UACAGAGGGUGCGAGCGUUAAUCGGAAUUACUGGGCGUAAAGCGUGCGUAGACGGUUAUGUAAGUCGGGUGUGAAAGCCCCGGGCUCAACCUGGGAAUUGCAUUCGAGACUGCAUAGCUAGGGUGCGGAAGAGGGAAGCGGAAUUUCCGGUGUAGCGGUGAAAUGCGUAGAUAUCGGGAGGAACACCGGUGGCGAAGGCGGCGACCUGGGUCGAGACUGACGCUGAGGCGCGAAAGCGUGGGGAGCAAACAGG
rnacentral:rRNA from 1 species